AAAUGGACUUAGUUUUUCUUCCAGUUAACAUUACAGUACAGUCUGCAGUUAAAGUAUUUAAAACAUUUUUAAGAUUCUUAAACUAGCCUGGAUUUUUACCAAACUUGGACAGAAGCUUCUCACAAUCAAAAGAUAGUAUCGAGAGGAAUAAUUUUAUUGAUUUUUUUCAUCAUUUUUGAUGAGUGUGUGAUUAACAGCAAAAGUAGGCGAGACACUGGGUUCCGCGGAACCCUUACAAUUUUUUCAGAAAUUAAAA
rnacentral:lncRNA from 1 species